GCCUCGGUGGUGUAGUUUUCAAAACGCUCGCCUGGUAAACAGGAGGGCGUGGGUUCAAUCCCAGCCGAGGUA
rnacentral:tRNA from 1 species